GGCGAGGGGGAAGGCGGGCAGCGCCUGUGGGGAAGGGCGGGAAGGCUGACCGGGGCUCGUCAGCCCUCCCUCGGCCUGUCCUCGGCUGAGGAGAGGAGCGGAGCGGAGCGGAGCGGCGGGUCUCCAUGGCCCCCCGCAGCCCCUCCGUCAGCCGGGUGCGGUCUGGGCUGCGGGGUCACGCUACGGGCUUGUACGUUUUAUAGCAGCAGUUGCCUUAACGGAGACCGACGGCGUCGGCGGCUGUUGGAAACCCAGCCGUGAAAUGGAAAGACGCCUUAGUGACUUCGAAGUUGGGGUUUUUUUUUUUUUUCCUUUCUCCCGUCAUUAAAUGUUGAUCUCCUCACUAAUUCACUCAUUAACAAGAUGAAGCGCAUUCACCCGAAAAGAAAUCCACCCUUGCCAGGGACUUUGCAGGAAAACCAGAAGGGAAUUGUAAUGGUCUGAACGAGUGACGCAGACCUAAAUCUUUCACAGAGUUACAAGCCGUUUGCUCCAGUACAGAGCCAGGACAAACUUACAGGGUUGGUUCGUUUUGUUUUCUUCUAAAAUAUCAUAAGAUAUUAAAAUGGUUGGA